GUGGUCCUACGGGGGGCAGCAGUAGGGAAUCUUCCACAAUGGGCGAAAGCCUGCUGGAGCAACGCCGCGUGGGUGAAGAAGGUCUUCGGAUCGUAAAACCCUGUUGUUAGAGAAGAAAGUGCGUGAGAGUAACUGUUCACGUUUCGACGGUAUCUAACCAGAAAGCCACGGCUAACUACGUGCCAGCAGCCGCGGUAAUACGUAGGUGGCAAGCGUUAUCCGGAUUUAUUGGGCGUAAAGGGAUCGCAGGCGGCCUUUUAAGUCUGAUGUGAAAGCCUUCCGCUUAACCGGAGUAGUGCAUUGGA
rnacentral:rRNA from 1 species